AUUCUCGGUCGCUAGGCUUUGAGGGUGCUGGGGUUGCUGCUGCAGAGACCAGAAAGGCAGGCGUGGCGCACCCAGAACUCAGACCGAGCCUGCUUAACACCCUUGGCCGGGAGGGUGACCUGCCAUGCACCUGAUGCUUGUGAGCCCCAGAUACGGGAAGAGCUGUCAGCUCCUGCCCGCCCCAGCAGCCCUGGCAUUCUGGAGCCAGAAUGCGACCUUAGACCUAAAGAGAGUUUUUGCAGCCCACCAAGUGCUUCCUUUCCCUUUAAUCCCUUGACAGCCUCUCCUCAAGUGUCCUCUGAGGUAGACAAAACAGAUACGUUUAUCAGAAGUUUUAGCUCAUCAACUAAUCUCAGUGAUGUAUUUUGCAUUUUUUUUUUCUCUCAACAACGCUUUGGUUACCUGAAAUACAGAUUAUGCAGGAAAGGCAGGAUAAAUGCUUUAUUUUUUCCUCUUUUAUCAAUUUUUAUAAUAAUAGUAAUGCCUAGCAACCUCCAAAAGUAGUCAAUUGCGUUUUAAUGAAGUACUAGAAUUUUAUAUAUUUGAUGUGUUUCAGUCUAGUUGAACAUUUUUAAUUCAAACUAAUUCAAAACAAAGCCAAGUGAGCUUCCACUUGCCAAGUGAGAAGAAGAUUCAAGAAAAGACCAAGUUGUUUUCCCAUAGCAAGUGUUUAGUAUUCACCUUGGAGUCUCCAGCAUCUAGCACAUAUAAAGUCUAAGUUUUGUCAUAAAUGGAUGGAGCUAGAGAUUUCUGACUUCCCAAUUCAUUGCCCUUUUCACUAUAUGGAGUAGCUUUGCCAUUAUUAUCAUUAUUAUUAUUUUGUGUUUUUACUAUGUAUAUUCAAGCCACUGCUAUUUAAAAUGCUUGAUUGGUGAUUAUCUUCUAAACUUAACUUGAGGCUGGG
rnacentral:lncRNA from 1 species